rnacentral:rRNA from 1 species
GACGGAGGGUGCAAGCGUUGUCCGGAAUCACUGGGCGUAAAGCGCGUGUAGGCGGUCGUGUGCGUCGGUGCUGAAAGCGCCCGGCUUAACCGGGCGAGGCGUGCCGAUACGAUGCGGCUGGAGGCAGGCAGAGGGGGGCGGAAUUCCGGGUGUAGCGGUGAAAUGCGUAGAGCUCCGGAGGAACGCCGGUGGGGGAGCCGGCCGCCUGGGCCUGACCUGACGCUGAGACGCGACAGCGUGGGGAGCAAACCGG